rnacentral:rRNA from 1 species
UCAAGCUACUAAGGGUGUACGGCGGAUGCCUUGGCGUCAAGAGUCGAUGAAGGACGCGAUAAGCUGCGAAAAGACAUGGGGAGCCGCAAGUAGGCUGUGAUCCAUGUAUGUCCGAAUGGGGGAACCCACUAGAAGUCAUGUUCUAGUAUCCGAAAGGAAGACACACCUAGGGAACUGAAACAUCUAAGUACCUAGAGGAAAAGUAAUCAAUUGAGAUUCCCUGAGUAGCGGCGAGCGAACGGGGAAGAGCCCAAACCGGAUUUCUUCGGAAAACCGGGGUUGUGGACCGGCAAAAAGUGAAAAGUUCUUAGCUGAACGACUUGGGAAAGUCGAGCGUAGAAGGUAAAACUCCUGUAAGCGAAAAGAACUCAAGCGGGCUGGUAUCCAGAGUACCACGAGACACGAGAAACCUUGUGGGAAGCAGGGGGGACCACCCUCCAAGGCAAAAUACUACUUGACGACCGAUAGCGCAUAGUACCGUGAGGGAAAGGUGAAAAGAACCCCGGGAGGGGAGUGAAAUAGAACCUGAAACCGUAUACCUACAAGCAGUCGAAGCGCUUUAUAUGCGUGACGGCGUGCCUAUUGAAGAAUGAACCGGCGAGUUACAGUAUCUAGCGAGGUUAAGUGGAAGACACGGAGCCGAAGCGAAAGCGAGUCUGAAUAGGGCGUCUAGUUAGAUAUUGUAGACCCGAAACCACAGUGAUCUAUCCAUGACCAGGUUGAAGCGCAGGUAAAAAUGCGUGGAGGACCGAACCCGUGAGUGUUGAAAAACUUUGGGAUGAGUUGUGGAUAGGGGUGAAAUGCCAAUCGAACGUGGAGAUAGCUGGUUCUCCCCGAAAUAGCUUUAGGGCUAGCCUCAAGUAUCAUUAUAGGCGGUAGAGCACUGAUCGGGCUAGGGGGCGUAAAGCCUACCGAACCCAGUCAAACUACGAAUGGUUAUAAUGUGAGCUUGGGAGUCAGACUGCGAGUGAUAAGACCCGUAGUCAAGAGGGAAACAGCCCAGAACGCCAACUAAGGUCCCCAAUGCUGUACUAAGUGGUAAAGGAUGUAGAAUUUCGAAAACAACCAGGAUGUUGGCUCAGAAGCAGCCACCAUUAAAAGAGUGCGUAAUAGCUCACUGGUCGAGAGGUUCUGCGCCGAAAAUGACCGGGGCUAAAGUACAGAACCGAAGUUGCGUCAGGAUGCGUAAGCAUCUUGGGUAGGGGAGCGUUCCAUACACGACGAAGGUAUACCGUAAGGAGUGCUGGAGAGUAUGGAAGUGAGAAUGCCGGUAUGAGUAGCGAAAAGAACAGUGAGAAUCUGUUCCACCGAAAGCCUAAGGUUUCCUGAGCAACGCUCGUCGACUCAGGGUAAGUCGGGACCUAAGCCGAGGCAACAAGCAUAGGCGAUGGACAACUGGCUAAAAUUCCAGUACCACCUUAAAUCGUUAUGAGCAAUGGAGUGACACAGAAGGAAGUUUGAGCACGCGAUUGGAAGUGCGUGUCGAAGCCGGUAGGGUGGCAUAUAGUUAAAUGCGUAUGCCAAUACCUGAGAAGUGAUAGAUAGGGAAACCCUCGGGGGACCUGAAUUCAAAUGGACCACACUGUCGAGAAAAGCUUCUAGCCAGAAAUAAGGUGCCCGUACCGCAAACCGACACAGGUAGGCGGGGAGAGAAUCCUAAGGUGCGCGGGAAAACCCUCGUUAAGGAACUCGGCAAAAUGUAUCCGUAACUUCGGGAAAAGGAUAGCCAUUCAUCGUGAAGUCUGAACAGAUGGAGCGAAGGGUGGCGACAGAAGAGAGGCCCAAGCGACUGUUUACCAUAAACACAGGUGCUUGCUAAAGAGAAAUCUGACGUAUAAGUGCUGACACCUGCCCGGUGCUGGAAGGUUAAGAGGAGGAGUUAGGAGCAAUCCGAAGCCCUGAAUUGAAGCCCCAGUAAACGGCGGCCGUAACUAUAACGGUCCUAAGGUAGCGAAAUUCCUUGUCGGGUAAGUUCCGACCCGCACGAA